AGACCAUGAUGUGGACAUUUCCUUAACAACUCUGUGUACCUCUCCCAAGCUUCAUAAAGUGAUUCAUCAUUGCCUUGCAUGAAAAGAGAGAAUGUCGUUUCUCAUUUU